rnacentral:lncRNA from 1 species
AAAUAGUUAUCAAAGGUACCAGGGUUAUAAUUUAAUACGCCAGACGCGCGUUUCGUCUACAUAAGACUCAUCAGUGACGCUCAUAUUAAAACAGUUAAAAAGCCAAACAUAUACAAAGUUGAAGAGCAUUGAGGACCCAAAAUUCCAAAACGUUGUGCCAAAUACGGCUAAGGUCAUCUAUUCCUGGGGGUAAGGAAAUCCUUA